rnacentral:lncRNA from 1 species
CUAAGAAUGUUACACGCAAGUCCCAUCACAACUUCUAGCACUUGGAUCAGCACAACCUUCAGGAACAGAAAUAUUUACUUGCCAAGUUUGCUUUGCCUGCACAGAAAAAAAAAAAAAAGAAAUUCAACAUUUUUAGACCAAGUUAUACUUUGAACCUAACAUUAUUUUUGCAAGUUAGAGAAACAUUAUACAAACCUCCAAUUCAAGAUUGGAAGAAAGUUCCCCUGUUAAUAGCAUCCUCGUUAGCAUUUCCAAGUGCAGCCUCGUUCAAGUACUUGUCAGCCAAUUGGACUCUCUUGACAUUCUCUUGUUCUUGGACAAGCAUGUUACCAUACGUCAAGAGCUUCUCCAGAGUCAUCUUGGGCUGCUCAAAGGUUGGAGGUCCAUCUUUUGAGUUCACAAGCUUCUUCCCAAUGCC